rnacentral:rRNA from 1 species
GGCCAGGUUGUUCAUCUGCUGCUAGUACGGCUCGUUGAUCUGCUACCGGCCCUUCACGGGGUCACAGGGGCAGGGAGAGCGUGGAACGUGGGUGGAUGGAGAGAUCGGGUCGUAGGCACGCUGUUGGGUCCUGAGGGAACGGGCCGGCNNNNNNNNNNNNNNNNNNNNNNNNNNNNNNNNNNNNNNNNNNNNNNNNNNNNNNNNNNNNNNNNNNNNNNNNNNNNNNNNNNNNNNNNNNNNNNNNNNNNGCGUGGGGGUGAUUGCGUGCCUUUUGAAGAAUGAGCCUGCGAGUUAGCGGUACGUGGCGAGGUUAACCCGUGUGGGGUAGCCGUAGCGAAAGCGAGUCCGAACAGGGCGAGUGAGUCGCGUGCUCUAGACCCGAAGCCGAGUGAUCUACCCAUGGCCAGGUUGAAGCGCGGGUAAGACCGCGUGGAGGACCGAACCCACUUCAGUUGAAAAUGGAGGGGAUGAGCUGUGGGUAGGGGUGAAAGGCCAAUCAAACUCGGUGAUAGCUGGUUCUCCCCGAAAUGCAUUUAGGUGCAGCGUCACGUGUUUCUUGCCGGAGGUAGAGCACUGGAUGGUCUAGGGGCCCCACAAGGUUACUGAAAUCAACCAAACUCCGAAUGCCGGUAAGUGAGAGCGUGGCAGUGAGACUGCGGGCGAUAAGGUUCGUAGUCGAGAGGGAAACAGCCCAGAUCAUCAGCUAAGGCCCCUAAGCGUGUGCUAAGUGGAAAAGGAUGUGGGAUUGCCGUGACAACCAGGAGGUUGGCUUAGAAGCAGCCACCCUUGAAAGAGUGCGUAAUAGCUCACUGGUCAAGUGGUUCCGCGCCGACAAUGUAGCGGGGCUCAAGCACACCGCCGAAGCUGUGGCAUUCACAUGAACCCGUCGUCACCCUCGUGGUGCCGGCCAGGUGUGUGGAUGGGUAGGGGAGCGUCGUGUGGCGAUUGAAGCGGCGGAGUGAUCCAGCCGUGGACGCCACACGAGUGAGAAUGCAGGCAUGAGUAGCGAAAGGGGAGUGAGAAACUCCCCCGCCGGAUGACCAAGGGUUCCUGGGCCAGGCUAAUCCGCCCAGGGUGAGUCGGGACCUAAGGCGAGGCCGACAGGCGUAGUCGAUGGACAACGGGUUGAUAUUCCCGUACCCGCGAAAGAACGCCCAUGCUGAACCCAGCGAUGCUAACCGCCUGAAACCACUGACUGUCCUUCGGGACUGAUGUGGCCGAACGCGGGACCCGGACUGGUAGUAGGCAAGCGAUGGGGUGACGCAGGAAGGUAGUCCUACCGGUGAAUGGUAGUACCGGUGCAAGGGUGUGGCCCGUGGGAUAGGUAAAUCCGUUCCACACGAGGGUGAGGCCUGACGCAUAGCCGAAUGAGGCGAAUUGGAUGAUCCUAUGCUGCCGAGAAAAGCCUCUAGCGAGUUCUUAGCGGCCCGUACCCCAAACCAACUCAGGUGGUCAGGUAGAGAAUACCAAGGCGAUCGAGCGAACUGUGGUUAAGGAACUCGGCAAAAUGCCCCCGUAACUUCGGGAGAAGGGGGGCCAUCUGCUGUGAACCGCUUACGCGGGGCAGCGGUGGGUGGCCGCAGAGACCAGUGAGAAGCGACUGUUUACUAAAAACACAGGUCCGUGCGAAGUCGAAAGACGAUGUAUACGGACUGACGCCUGCCCGGUGCUGGAACGUUAAGGGGACGGGUUAGCCGCAAGGCGAAGCUCAGAACUCAAGCGCCAGUAAACGGCGGUGGUAACUAUAACCAUCCUAAGGUAGCGAAAUUCCUUGUCGGGUAAGUUCCGACCUGCACGAAUGGCGUAACGACUUCUCAGCUGUCUCAACCACAGGCUCGGCGAAAUUGCACUACGAGUAAAGAUGCUCGUUACGCGCGGCAGGACGGAAAGACCCCGGGACCUUCACUAUAGCUUGAUAUUGGUGUUCGGUUCGGCUUGUGUAGGAUAGGUGGGAGACUGUGAAGCGGGCACGCCAGUGUUCGUGGAGUCAUCGUUGAAAUACCACUCUGGUCGAAUUGGAUGUCUAACCUCGGUCCGUGAUCCGGAUCAGGAACAGUGUCAGGUGGGUAGUUUAACUGGGGCGGUUGCCUCCCAAAAUGUAACGGAGGCGCCCAAAGGUUCCCUCAGCCUGGUUGGCAAUCAGGUGUCGAGUGCAAGUGCACAAGGGAGCUUGACUGCGAGACUGACGGGUCGAGCAGGAGCGAAAGCUGGGACUAGUGACCCGGCACCGGCAUGUGGAAGCGGUGUCGCUCAACGGAUAAAAGGUACCCCGGGGAUAACAGGCUGAUCUUCCCCAAGAGUCCAUAUCGACGGGAUGGUUUGGCACCUCGAUGUCGGCUCGUCGCAUCCUGGGGCUGGAGUAGGUCCCAAGGGUUGGGCUGUUCGCCCAUUAAAGCGGUACGCGAGCUGGGUUUAGAACGUCGUGAGACAGUUCGGUCCCUAUCCGCCGCGCGCGUAAGAGACUUGAGAAGUGCUGUCCCUAGUACGAGAGGACCGGGACGGACGAACCUCUGGUGUGCCAGUUGUUCCGCCAGGAGCACUGCUGGUUGGCUACGUUCGGCAGGGAUAACCGCUGAAAGCAUCUAAGCGGGAAGCCUUCUUCAAGAUGAGGUCUCUCACCGGGUCAACCGGGUAAGGCCCCCGCCCAGACCAGCGGGUUGAUAGGCCGGAGGUGGAAGCGGCGCAAGUCGUGGAGCUGACCGGUACUAAUAGGCCGAGGGCUUGACUCA